UCAGUCAGGCUCCGAGUAGCAAAGAGACACCACAGUGUCAAUUCAGAUAAGCUGAGGAAGGCCAUCACAGUUUUUUGGAGGAAAUUAUGUGGAUGUAGUUUAGAGAGUUGUUUCUUCUUUUUUAUUGCAAAUACAGAGACAGAUUGUUUGUAUAAUUGAGCCAGAUCAGACUGGUUUCAGAUUAUGUAAAGCAGGGGUCUGGGGCCUCUUACCAGAAGGUGUUCUUCAUCAGAUCUCUAUUAGUUAUUCUAACUGUGAUGAUUACUAUUCCAUGAGACCCCUCUCUUCUUGUUGCCAUGGGCAACUAUAACUCUGCCCUGACUGCAGAUGUUGAAGAUUUCAAGUCCAUUGUGUCAACUUUUGAGAGCCAGUGUACUCUGAUUGAAAACUACAGGCUGGAGAGGACACUAUCAGUUAAUCAUGCUACUGCUGAGGAACAGGAAGGACAGGAAAUGAAUGAAUUGCAGCAGGAGCCAGACCUCAAGUUUCUGUAUAGUAACACCAAAGACAUCACAGAACCUGUCAACAACUGUUCUUCUGCUCCAAAGCCAGUGGUUUCCUCUUCUUCGUCUUCAUGUUCUGGGACAAAUCUGCCCCAAUCUCUCAACUCUCUUCUCUCUGCUGCCCUCUCAGCAUCAUUACCAGCUAAACCCAGAGCGAGCCCGCGGGGCCCCGUCACUAUGGAGCAAAUGAAAGCGGAUCUCCGAGAGUUACGGGAUGAACUAGACCAGCUUAAGACUCAGCAUAAUGGUACGUUUGAGUGCUUAUCCUUGAUGUCUCAAUCAAGCUGAGGACUUGAGAUUUCUUCUGUAUCAUGGCAAUGGAAUACAUCACACGAGAGACCGCUUGGACCAAAAGUGAUCAUAUCUAGGGCUGGACUGGUAAUCUGACAUACCGGGCAUUUUCCCGGUGGGCCGACGCACUUUGGGGCCAAUCAGGGGCAGACCUGCCAUCGGGAGAACCGAGCUGGCUGGUGGGUCGGCCACGAAAUGGGCCGAAUUGGCUGUGAUAAGCUAAAAUGAGCCGCAGCAUAUGCAGAACUGAUCACUUAUGGGCCGAAGAUUGACUCUAGACUGAUGCACCGAAACAUCCAUACUCAACAAUCCUAUCUUAUCCCUUUUCUGCGAUUUUUGUUUAGACCAGUAUUCUUUAUUUAAUUUGUCAGAUUAUAAUUUAAGAUUUUAACAGUUAAGAAUAGUUUCUGAGAUACAACCCCUGUUCAUUAUCUCUUUCUUAAUGUUAUGCAAUUGUUGAUUGUGUUUCAGAAAAGAGAUCACACUGCUCAUGAAUGAACUGGAUGAGGAAAAAAAGAUGCGUUUGUCACUGCAAAUUGACGUAGAACGCCUUAAGAAACACAUGUCCAAGUGAGCCCGUGCUGAGGUAAUCGUCAACAAAUCACUGUGACUCUGAAUGGACAAAUUCAAGUGUGGAAAUGAAAACAGCAAAAGCUUACAGAAGAACUCGGCACUUGAGAGACUCUGUGAAAUACAUAUUUAUAUAACGUCAAAUGUCUGGAUGAAAGAUUAUUUCAUAUUUUUUAAAUUCUUACAGUUGACUGUAUGACUAGUAAGAGACAAUAAAUGAA